AAGAAAUUAGUUAAAUUUAUAAUAUUAAUUUGUCAUGUUAAAGUUAUCUUCUUUAAGAUAUUUCUUA
rnacentral:tRNA from 2 species